rnacentral:rRNA from 1 species
AGUACAGGAUGGACCCGCGUCUGAUUAGCUAGUUGGUAAGGUAACGGCUUACCAAGGCGACGAUCAGUAGCCGACCUGAGAGGGUGAUCGGCCACAUUGGAACUGAGACACGGUCCAAACUCCUACGGGAGGCCGCAGUGGGGAAUAUUGCACAAUGGGCGAAAGCCUGAUGCAGCAACGCCGCGUGAGUGAUGAAGGCCUUCGGGUCGUAAAACUCUGUCCUCAAGGAAGAUAAUGACGG